rnacentral:lncRNA from 1 species
CGAGUCGACUCCCAGUCGCGGAGGUCACUUUAAUUCAAAUCCGGAACAGUUGCCGAGCCGACUCCAGAAAAGCAUGAGUCGACUCCCGCUACAGUCGAGUCGACUCCAGAUCGCGCGAGUCGACUCCGACCCCAACGGACAUAUUGUUAGGAUGUGCAGAGUGUGCAGAACGGGCAGAAAAAGGUGUCUAACGGCUAGUUUCCGUGGGGGAUGGCUUAAAUAGCCACAGAGGACUGUAGCAAGGCAGAGAAGCACUAUUCCACUCAAAGAAAUCAAGCAUCCUAUCUCUGCCAACUGGUUUUCAACAGAAAAGAAGGAAGAGCGCCAUUAACUCCAUCCAGCCACCUCUUCCCAGCAUUUAAAGAAGUCUCCUUCUGCCUUCAAGUGGACCAGACAUUCAAGAGGAGACUCACAGUUCAAGAAGCCCUACUCUACUCCAACUCAAACGUGUUUGAGGGCUCUUAACUUUUCUCUAGUUUAUAUUGCUGUAUAUCUAUUUUUUAGAAGCUCUGUUUUUCUGUUAGUCCUUGUUCUUUUCAUCUUGUCUUUGCUUGAUUCAAUCAGGGGAUUGAAUCAAGAGUGUAGAGGUUGGUUGGUGAGCCGAGGGUAAAACCAACGUGUAAGGGUUCGAUUGUGAUCCCGAGAAAACAAUCGGGGUGGUUCUAGUCGGUGAGCCUGGGAAAACCGACCGAGUUCGUUGUGAGCUCGUAAAACAACAAGUUGGGUUGUGAGCUUGUAAAACAACCGGCUGUAAUCCAAGGGGUUAUAGUGAAUUUCCAAGUGAGACUUGGGGAGUGGAUGUAGGAGCAAGGGUUAGCUCCGAACCACUAUAAACAUUGUGUUUGUGAUUGCUUGUGUCUCUCUCUCUCACUCUCAUUUC